rnacentral:rRNA from 1 species
AGCGAACGCUGGCGGCGUGCUUAACACAUGCAAGUCGAGCGAAGGUGUUUCAAGGGUAACCUUGAGAUACACUUAGCGGCGGACGGGUGAGUAAUACGUGGAUAACUUACCUCUAGGCCUGGGAUAACCCCGGGAACUGGGGCUAAUACCUGAUAAGACCACAUUGUCUACGGACAAAGGGGUAAAAGGUGGCUGUGCAAACAGCUAUCGCCAAAAGAUAGGUUCACGUCCCAUCAGGCAGUGGUGAGGUAAUGGCUCACCAAACCAAAGACGGGUAGCCGGCCUUGGCGGGUGAACGGCCACACGGGGACUGAGACACGGCCCCGACUCCUACGGGAGGCAGCAGUGGGGAAUAUUGGGCAAUGGGCGCAAGCCUGACCCAGCGACGUCGCGUUGGGGAAGAAGGCCUCGG